GUCCGUCGUGAAGAGGGAAACAACCCAGACCGCCAGCUAAGGUCCCAAAGUCAUGGUUAAGUGGGAAACGAUGUGGGAAGGCCCAGACAGCCAGGAUGUUGGCUUAGAAGCAGCCAUCAUUUAAAGAAAGCGUAAUAGCUCACUGGUCGAGUCGGCCUGCGCGGAAGAUGUAACGGGGCUAAACCAUGCACCGAAGCUGCGGCAGCGACGCUUAUGCGUUGUUGGGUAGGGGAGCGUUCUGUAAGCCUGCGAAGGUGUGCUGUGAGGCAUGCUGGAGGUAUCAGAAGUGCGAAUGCUGACAUAAGUAACGAUAAAGCGGGUGAAAAGCCCGCUCGCCGGAAGACCAAGGGUUCCUGUCCAACGUUAAUCGGGGCAGGGUGAGUCGACCCCUAAGGCGAGGCCGAAAGGCGUAGUCGAUGGGAAACAGGUUAAUAUUCCUGUACUUGGUGUUACUGCGAAGGGGGGACGGAGAAG
rnacentral:rRNA from 1 species